UGAGGGUGAGUCAGCCUUGGCCAAUUCGACAUUGGCCAAGCAGCUCAUUUAAGCUAUUUUUUUUCUGACUGAUCAGGAGAAUAAGAAGAAUCGGACUGUUGUUGAAAUAUUUUCUUCCUUUUACCCGAUGAUACUAGGGGUAAAUUUUCCGACAUCUUUUUUUUUGAUCUGAUCUGACUUGAUUUAUCUUCUUCUUUUAGUGGGC
rnacentral:lncRNA from 1 species